rnacentral:tRNA from 1 species
UAUAAGGAAGUGUUUUGGCACAUAGAACUUUGACUUCUAAAGAAAAGGCUCAUCCCUUUCCUUAUAA